UACGUAGGGAGCAAGCGUUGUUCGGAAUUACUGGGCGUAAAGGGCGCGUAGGCGGCCUGCUAAGUCGAACGUGAAAUCCCUGGGCUCAACCCAGGAACUGCGUCCGAUACUGGUUGGCUUGAAUCCGGGAGAGGGAUGUGGAAUUCCAGGUGUAGCGGUGAAAUGCGUAGAUAUCUGGAGGAACACCGGUGGCGAAGGCGACAUCCUGGACCGGUAUU
rnacentral:rRNA from 1 species